CCCAGACUCCUACGGGAGGCAGCAGUGGGGAAUAUUGCACAAUGGGGGAAACCCUGAUGCAGCGACGCCGCGUGAGUGAAGAAGUAUUUCGGUAUGUAAAGCUCUAUCAGCAGGGAAGAAAAAAGACGGUACCUGACUAAGAAGCCCCGGCUAACUACGUGCCAGCAGCCGCGGUAAUACGUAGGGGGCAAGCGUUAUCCGGAUUUACUGGGUGUAAAGGGAGCGUAGACGGCAAUACAAGUCGGAAGUGAAAUACCCGGGCUCAACCUGGGAACUGCUUUGGAAACUGUAUGGCUGGAGUGCUGGAGAGGUAAGCGGAAUUCCUAGUGUAGCGGUGAAAUGCGUAGAUAUUAGGAGGAACACCAGUGGCGAGGGUGGCUUACUGGACAGUAACUGACGUUGAGGCUCGAAAGCGUGGGGAGCAAACAGGAUUAGAUACCCCAGUAUU
rnacentral:rRNA from 1 species